rnacentral:lncRNA from 1 species
AGACAGCGGAGCAGACAGCUGGGAGCCCUGCUGGCCCGGGUGGGCCCCCCUUGGGUCUGGCGCUGAGCCGGGCCUGUCAUCAGCACCAGGUGACCAGGCUCCUUAACGUCUAUGGGUGAAGGUGGGACCGCGUGGCCGAGCCACGGUCCAGAUGCAGAUUCGCAGCCCAAUUCCAGGGGAAGCGGACGGUCAGAGACCCGGGACACGGCCCCAGGGUUCUAAGCAACAGCAAGGGCUCUUGGGGAGGGGGAGGCUUAACGCUGGGGUUGGACACCGAGGCAUUUCCCCAAAACCCUGCUAAUUCCUUCCGGGCAAAUGGUCAAAUGCCCCUGGGGGCCACCCAAGCCCGAGGGAGACUGCGCAUUUCCAGGGCACGGGCCCUUGAACUCGGACGCCACUUGCAAAGCGGGUCAGUUCGCUGGAUGCUCGGGAACCGACGCUUAGGACGGAGUCACUAGGUUAGAACGGGACAUUCCCGGAGUCCGACAACCCUGCGGCCCAGGACUCGGGGCGGCGAGCUCCUGGAGCCGGGCCAUGAGCCGUGGGCUCCCCGGGGCUCCCGCCCGUCCCAAGGCAAGCCCGCCCCACUGACACAGGACCCGGGCCUCGACAUCCGUGUGUGGCCCUCUGUGCUCCCCUUUUCUCUGUUCACGCAGAAACCCAGAGCCAUUUACGGCUUCCGUCUGGGAGAUCCACAGAGAGAGGACCCGGGAACGGCCCGGACAGGGGACCAAGGGACGCGCCGCCUCACCGGAGGCCGCGGCGGCGGAGGGCGAGGGAGGCAGGGGCUCGGGGGCGCAGGCUCCCCCCACCCCUUGAGCCUCCGGGCGGGCCCUCAGGGGCGCCCACGGCAGGGCCCCUGCGUCUUCAUGCCAGCGAGGUCCCCUCCUUCCGCAGGUUCCGCGCUCUGACCGCGGGGCCUUUGUCUUUGGUGACUUUCCAGACCAGGAUGAGGAGAACGACGAGUGUCAUCAAGAGCGUAGAGAAGGAGAGGACCUUCACCAGACAUGCAGAAAGCUGCAGAGAUAGCAGAGACCCCGCGCACCCGGGAGCUGCAGAGAUAGCAGAGACCCCGCGCACCAGGGAGCUGCAGAGAUAGCAGAGACCCCGCGCACCAGGGAGCUGCAGAGAUAGCAGAGACCCCGCGCACCCGGGAGCUGCAGAGAUAGCAGAGACCCCGCGCACCAGGGAGCUGCAGAGAUAGCAGAGACCCCGCGCACCCGGGAGCUGCAGAGAUAGCAGAGACCCCGCGCACCCGGGAGCUGCAGAGAUAGCAGAGACCCCGCACACCAGGGAGCUGCAGAGAUAGCAGAGACCCCCCGCGCACCGGGAGCUGCAGAGAUAGCAGAGACCCCGCACACCAGGGAGCUGCAGAGAUAGCAGAGACCCCGCACACCAGGGAGCUGCAGAGAUAGCAGAGACCCCGCGCACCCGGGAGCUGCAGAGAUAGCAGAGACCCGCGCACCCGGGAGCUGCAGAGAUAGCAGAGACCCCGCGCACCCGGGAGCUGCAGAGAUAGCAGAGACCCCGCGCACCAGGGAGCUGCAGAGAUAGCAGAGACCCCGCGCACCAGGGAGCUGCAGAGAUAGCAGAGACCCCGCGCACCCGGGAGCUGCAGAGAUAGCAGAGACCCCGCGCACCAGGGAGCUGCAGAGAUAGCAGAGACCCCGCGCACCCGGGAGCUGCAGAGAUAGCAGAGACCCCGCACACCAGGGAGCUGCAGAGAUAGCAGAGACCCCGCGCACCAGGGAGCUGCAGAGAUAGCAGAGACCCCGCGCACCCCUGGGAGCUGCAGAGAUAGCAGAGACCCCGACGCACCAGGGAGCUGCAGAGAUAGCAGAGACCCCGCGCACCCGGGAGCUGCAGAGAUAGCAGAGACCCCGCGCACCAGGGAGCUGCAGAGAUAGCAGAGACCCCGCGCACCAGGGAGCUGCAGAGAUAGCAGAGACCCCGCGCACCAGGGAGCUGCAGAGAUAGCAGAGACCCCGCGCACCAGGGAGCUGCAGAGAUAGCAGAGACCCCGCGCACCCGGGAGCUGCAGAGAUAGCAGAGACCCCCGCGCACCCGGGAGCUGCAGAGAUAGCAGAGACCCCGCGCACCCGGGAGCUGCAGAGAUAGCAGAGACCCCGCGCACCACCGGGAGCUGCAGAGAUAGCAGAGACCCCCGCGCACCCGGGAGCUGCAGAGAUAGCAGAGACCCCGCACACCAGGGAGCUGCAGAGAUAGCAGAGACCCCGCGCACCCGGGAGCUGCAGAGAUAGCAGAGACCCCGCGCACCAGGGAGCUGCAGAGAUAGCAGAGACCCCGCACACCAGGGAGCUGCAGAGAUAGCAGAGACCCCGCGCACCCGGGAGCUGCAGAGAUAGCAGAGACCCCGCGCACCCGGGAGCUGCAGAGAUAGCAGAGACCCCGCGCACCCGGGAGCUGCAGAGAUAGCAGAGACCCCGCGCACCAGGGAGCUGCAGAGAUAGCAGAGA